GAAUUUUCUGGACUUCUUUGUGUUUUCUCCUGGGAAGCUCUGAAGUUUCCAUAAUUCCUGGGCUCCAGAAAGAAGAAAAGGCGGCCGUGGAGAGACGAAGACUUCAUGUGCUGAAAGCUCUGAAGAAGCUAAGGAUUGAGGCUGAUGAGGCCCCAGUUGUUGCUGUGCUGGGCUCAGGCGGAGGACUGCGGGCUCACAUUGCCUGCCUUGGGGUCCUGAGUGAGAUGAAAGAACAGGGCCUGUUGGAUGCCGUCACGUACCUCGCAGGGGUCUCUGGAUCCACUUGGUAAGCAUCACUCAUGUUUCAGAUUGCUUUCUGACACAUAAAUGGGAUUAUUUUUUUCCUCCUGACACCAAAUGUGUGUGGUUUUUUCCAACGCUGCUUCUCGAGCUCUCUGGUACUAGCUGGGUGUCCUACAAUUCUGAGCAAUUCUGACGCUGGCUACCUGGAGUUCACAUCAGAUUCCACAGGUGAAAGGGGCUCAGUCCCAAAAAACUGCUCCCACUUCAGACACGAGUUGCAAUUACCUAGCCGCUGGUGCUUCUGACCGACUGGCAAUAGUUUGGGGUUUCCCACAGCUUCCGCCUCAUGUUCAAUAAUUUACUGGAAUAGCUCACAGAACUCAGGAACACACUUUACUUACAAUUGCUGGUGUAUUACAAAAGAUGGGCCAGGUGUGGUGGCUCACGCCUGUAAUCCCAGAACUUUGGGAGGCUGAGGCAGGAAGAUCGCUUGAGUCUAGGAGUUUGAGACCCAGGCGGGGCAACAUAGCAAGACCCCAUCUCUACAAAAAGUGAAAAAAUUAGCCAGGCGUGGUGGUGCAUGCCUAUGGUCCCAGCUA
rnacentral:lncRNA from 10 species